CUACGGGAGGCUGCAGUCGAGAAUAAUUCACAAUGGGGGCAACCCUGAUGGUGCAACGCCGCGUGGAGGAUGACGGUCUUCGGAUUGUAAACUCCUGUCAUCCGGGAGUAAGACCUGGCUGUGAAUAGCAGACAGGGUUGAUAGUACCGGAAGAGGAAGGGACGGCUAAAUUCGUGCCAGCAGCCGCGGUAAUACGAAGGUCCCGAGCGUUGUUCGGAAUCACUGGGCGUAAAGGGAGCGUAGGCGGCGUGGUAAGUCAGAUGUGAAAUCCCGGGGCUCAACCCCGGAACUGCAUCCGAUACUGGCGUGCUAGAGGAUUGGAGAGGUAGCUGGAAUUCUUGGUGUAGCAGUGAAAUGCGUGGAUAUCAAGAGGAACACUCGUGGCGAAAGCGAGCUACUGGACAACUCCUGACGCUGAGGCUCGAAGGCCAGGGUAGCGAAAGGGAUUAGAUACCCCUGUAGUC
rnacentral:rRNA from 1 species